rnacentral:rRNA from 1 species
GAUCAUGGCUCAGGAUGAACGCUGGCGGCGUGCUUAACACAUGCAAGUCGAGCGAAGCACUUUGCUUUGAUUUCUUCGGGAUGAAGAGCUUGGUGACUGAGCGGCGGACGGGUGAAGUAACGCGUGGGUAACCUGCCUCAUACAGGGGGAUAACAGUUAGAAAUGACUGCUAAUACCGCAUAAGACCACAGCACCGCAUGGUGCAGGGGUAAAAACUCCGGU